UGGGAAGCUGGUGCACAAGUGACAACCACAUGAACUUGACAAGACGGAGCCCUGACCCCAGUGGUAAGGACACCCAAGACAACCAGAGAUCUUCAUCCUGCUGCAGUCUUCAUCUGCCUUCACAUCCUCAUAGAACCAGAAGAUCCUCAAACCCUACCAGAACUACAAGACUCCAGAUGACGUAUCUCUGAGUGUUACUGAAACACAUAAGCCUCUCCAAGGUUAUGGUCCAAGGAGAGGAAUAGGGUCUCUUUAUGGAUGAUGGACCGGAGACCUAGAAUCUUGCAUCCUCACUGUUCUAGCAUGCAAAACAACAUAUCAUAAGCCU